rnacentral:tRNA from 1 species
CGCGGGGUGGAGCAGCUUGGUAGCUCGUCGGGCUCAUAACCCGAAGGUCGUAGGUUCAAAUCCUACCCCCGCUACUA